UAGUAUGUUGAUAUAUACCCGAAACCAUGUGAUCUAUUCAUGAGCAGACUGAAGCUUGGCUAACCCCAAGUGGAGGGUCGAACCGUAGUACGCUGAAAAGUGCCCGGAUGACUUGUGAAUAGUGGAGAAAUUCCAAUCGAACUUGGAGAUAGCUGGUUCUCCUCGAAAUAGCUUUAGGGCUAGCGUGUGAUGUUAAACUUUGGUGGUAGAGCACUGAAUAUGGAAUGGCCGCGCCUAGCGGUACUGACUAUAAUCAAACUCCGAAU
rnacentral:rRNA from 1 species